rnacentral:tRNA from 1 species
GACCAUGUAGCUCAGUUGGAAGAGCAUUGGGCUAGUAUUCCAAAGGUUGUAGGUUCGAAUCCCACCGUGGCCG